rnacentral:tRNA from 1 species
GCUCGUGUGGCGGAACUGGUAGACGCGUACGACUCAAAAUCGUAUAACUUUGUUGUAAGAGUUCGAUUCUCUUCACGAGCACCA